AUAAUUGUGGCCGAGUGGUUAAGGCAAUGGACUCGAAAUCCAUUGGUGUUUCCCACACAGGUUCGAAUCCUGUUGAUUAAU